rnacentral:rRNA from 1 species
AAGUGAUUGGGGUGAAGUCGUAACAAGGUAGCCGUACCGGAAGGUGCGGCUGGAUCACCUCCUUUCUAAGGA